GAUGAACGCUGGCGGCGUGCCUAAUACAUGCAAGUCGAGCGAACAGACGAGGAGCUUGCUCCUCUGACGUUAGCGGCGGACGGGUGAGUAACACGUGGAUAACCUACCUAUAAGACUGGGAUAACUUCGGGAAACCGGAGCUAAUACCGGAUAAUAUAUUGAACCGCAUGGUUCAAUAGUGAAAGACGGCUUUGCUGUCACUUAUAGAUGGAUCCGCGCCGUAUUAGCUAGUUGGUAAGGUAACGGCUUACCAAGGCAACGAUACGUAGCCGACCUGAGAGGGUGAUCGGCCACAUUGGAACUGAGACCCGGUCCAGACUCCUACGGGAGGCAGCAGUAGGGAAUCUUCCGCAAUGGGCGAAAGCCUGACGGAGCAACGCCGCGUGAGUGAUGAAGGUCUUCGGAUCGUAAAACUCUGUUAUUAGGGAAGAACAAAUGUGUAAGUAACUAUGCACGUCUUGACGGUACCUAAUCAGAAAGCCACGGCUAACUACGUG
rnacentral:rRNA from 1 species